UAAUCUGAAGAACACAAAAUAGUUAUUAAAGUCACUGAGAAAAACUGUGGCUCAGUACUCAAAAUCACUCAAGUAUUAUAAAACAAACUAUAUUUUUUUUAAACUUAAAUUCCAGAAAAUCUGGAAUGUCCUAAAAAUUCUUUUGGCAAAUGACUCAUCAUAUUUUACACAUCAGUGCUUACAUAUAAAUUCAGGACCAAACACACUGAGUGGAAGAAGGCUAUUUUACUAGAAAAGGCAUAAAUGUUCUGCAGGCACAUUCAUGUAAAACAUUCUUAAAAACUCCCAAAACUGUGUUUGGGUGUGUGCAAGUCUCAAGGUCAAGGAUCUAGAGCGUAAAUGAAAGCACAGAGUGACCUGCAGAGAAACAGAUCAGCUGAAGUUUUCUGAAUAAACUUUAUAUCCUCCAUGGAAUAUCAUGGAAUCAGCAAAAAUCACUUUAAUUGCUAUUUACCCAUCCACAGCAAUUCUUCCACCAUUUCUUUCCGAAUGGCCCAUAACCCACAGACCCAGCAAUCCGGAGGGCUGACUCUUGGAAAUGAAAUUUGCUGAGUCAUGCUUGUUUUACCCUUGGGCUUGGCCAAUGUGAAGUACUAUUUUUCAGAAAUAAUCCUGGAGAAGGAGUUUUAGGUGACCGAGGACACCGAACGUGACAGGUUAGCAGUGUGGAACGGGCACACUGGGUGGCAUUGCUCUUUAUCCUGAAUUAAUGUGCAGGAGAAACAUUUCAGAGGAAGAAUUAAGUGGCCAGCAAGGCAGCAAGUGCCCAGCAAGAGCAACCCAGCACACGUUCUGCGAGGCAGCAGCACUGCUGCCCUACACCUUGCCUGGGGGCUAUUUUCUUAAUCCCUGUUAUUCUUAUUAAAGAUUCUGUAAAUAGCAUUUCUCCCUUUCCCUGUGAUUACCUGGUCUAGGAGGGAUUCUCGUUCAUCAAUGAGCCUUUUCAGCCUGUCUGAAAGACAAGAGUGAAGGUUCAGUGCUGAUGUGAUCGCGCGGCACAUUCUGGAGAGCAUCUGACAGAUGUGAUGAACCAUUAAGUCAAUUCUCCAUGUCAGACAUCAAGAGGCCAUGGGCAAUCUGGGCCAGCUGUUGUGCUACACUUGCACUUGGAAGUGCUACAUGGUCAGCACAUGGAUAUGUGUGGCUUUCAUUAAUGAAGACCACUCUACAGACUGAGACAACUGGAAAAAAGAACUACAAAUUAAGUGACCAAACUGCUCGUGUUUUUUCCUUCCCUGUUAAGGGGUGCAAAACAUGAAAGCAUUUUACCAGGUACUCACACAUUCUCUUAUCACUAAAAUUAUCUCAUUAAUUAACAACCUCUGUUCAGGUACACCUCAAGCAGAAGUGCACUGGAACAUAGCACUCAAAUGCACUUCUUAGAAGAGGCUCUGUUGACCUCAGCCGAGUCUUAGUCCCCAGGUCUGACGUGGGUGUUAACUGCAGGUUUAUUUAGCCUGCCUCCCUUGCCAGCAGGCAGCCACCUGGGCAGAACCCAGGGUGUUCAGAGCUCAACUCCACAGCUAAGGUCUUAAAUGGUUAAAAUCCAAAGGUCACUCAAGAAAAAAGUCUUUUUGUAAACUUAAGGAAAGCAAAUUGACAAAUUACAGGUAAGAGCCUGGUGGGCUUUUACCAGGUAAAUUCUGUUGACAGAGUGACUUAAAUGUUUUUGAAGAGCUUUAAAAAUGCCAGUCCUCCUUUGUCCUUAAAUCCUGAACAGGCCAAAGUCUUGUGGUUCUUGUGGUUCUCCCUUUUUUCUUGUUAGCACGCCCAGUUAAAGGGAAUAAAGAGUCUGCAUUUAAUCAAAUCAUGGGGAAAACUGGUUUUCAAAUGAAAGUCCCUCUGUGCAGCAGACAUAUACAGUCCAUUAGUUAGCAAUAAUGUGGUAUGUCAUUCCCCUCCUGGCUAUACAAAUUCCCAUACACCAGCAGUCAUACCAGAGCAUGGAAUAAAACCUUUACCUUGGCUUCUGAUGCAAUACCCCAAUACAGAUCUUAACGUGACAUCCCAGUGCAGCUACUCUGUGCCACCAUUUUAAUCCUUCUCAAGUCCUAUCUUUUUUUUUUUACUCAACUGUUACACCUGAGCAUUUCUAUGGAAAAACAAAAUAAACAAAACCAACAGAAACCUCACAUUUUCAUCAACCAUCAAGAGUAACCAAAAUUUACAGGUAUAAACCCCUUCAAAAUAAUACUUUCACAGAUCUAUAUGGGAAGGAAAGGAAGCUUACAGAAAUUCUGCAAAAGAUGAAAGAUAAAGAAAAAUAAAGGACAAUGAAGAAAACAAGGAGAGCAAACAGUAAAAGACAGGUUGAAGAUACUAGGAGAUAGUUUUGGGAGUCACAGGUCAGCAAAGAUUGAGAAGUGGAGUUCUAAGGACUGGAAGGAGAACGAGGACUGAGGCAGCAGGAAACCUCUGGGCCACUACAAAAUUAGCCCAAACUUAUUGACUCUAAAGGAGCCAAAUAAUCCACCUUGAUCCUGAAAAUAAUUUAGUUGUAACUUUCAUUAACACAGCCACUGCUGUGGGGUGAAACACACCUGCCUGAAGAAAGGACACCUCCUCCAGCUUCCAGGAAGGAAGCAUAUCAGCUUCCCCCCAGCCCCUUCCCUGCAAAAUGGAUGUUAGCGCUUUGGGAUGAACCUUCAAAUCCAAUCUCACCAUCAGUCCUCUCUUCCUUCAUUAUGGACAUCUGUGCACCCCUCUGGCACAUGCUGGCAGCAGGAUUUACAGGACUAGGGAGAAAAUUAGUUUGGAAAAUUGCUUUUUCUGUAGGAAAGUUUUCUACCCAUAGAGAUGAAGGUCUUUGAGAUUUCAUUUAUCUUUUAAAACCCCCACGCUAACACAGAAAACUUACUUUAUCUUUGCUAUCUCUGCAGUCACCUUAAUUUUGCAUUUAGGAGACAUUUUUCCAACAAAUCAAGGAUCUGAGGACUUUGAGAGCAGGUGAGCAGGAAAGAGCAAUUUCCUGAUUUAGGACACUGAAGCAGCUAAUUGAAAUUCCUAUCUGUUACAGUCAUUAUCCUUAUUUCACAUACAAAGAUACUAGAAUGAAUAAUUAGAGUGUGACAUUCACCUCACUUCACUUUGGAAAACAUGAUUCCCAGGAUACUCACUGCACCAGUUCAUGGCUUUCACACACAUAGGAGUUUGACAGAGGACUGAAGGAGGAAUGGGGCCUGUGAGGGAGCAGGACACAGGGGGGUGAUGGUGACCAGUGUCUUCUGCUAUGGUUUGUGAAUGAAAUGACUGUUCUCAUUGCCUUGCCACUGCAGGUGACCCGAGGCACUGCUAACUUGGGUGCUGCUUCAGUGGCACCAUUGACCAAACAUCCUCAAAUCAGCCACAGAUCCUCCAUGGCUCUUCCCACUUGGAGGGAUGGGAUGGAGCUUCCCAUGGGAUGGGAAGGAGCUGUUUUUAUCUGCACGACUUACAUGAUGUGUGGCCCACAAAGUAAUUAAUCAUUAUGCAAAUGAAAGAUAAAUUCUACUUAGAGGAUGGAAAGACAUUCCAUGAAAUCACAGCAGCAGCCCCAAGCAGCUGUUCUGAACAGCCUGCAGGAAUACGACUCUGGGAUCAUUAGCAGGUUAGACAAUACUCCUUUCUCCAGAUCUGUCCAUUUAUUUGGAUCAUGAGAAAACAACAUAAAAUACUGAGAAAUGCCUUCCUGUCUUUCUCAGAAGAGGGAUACUGUUGGGGACAGCACAGGAUUUGGAAAACACCAGCUUGCAAUACUGAUUUUGAAGGGAACAGGAGGACUGUUCUUUUCUGUAGUAAAGGAAAUAUUGACAAAGACCUUUUCAUUAUUUUUGCUUCCUUUUUCAUCAGGUACUUUUCUUCAGCUAUUGCUUUUGAAAGCAUUUCAGGCCAGCUCUGAACGUGCAGUUAUGCACGAACCGAGGCUACAGGCUACACGUGGCACUAGGUGUUGAACAGAAAACCCAGCAAACAUUUGGGGCUAUUCUGAAAGACAGAAGUCUCAUCCUUGGGUCACAUACUCAUAUUUGAAAGUCAAAACCACCAAAGAAAGUGACAAGCCAGGUGUUUUCUUCUAUCUGUUACCUGUUGCAGGGGAAAUGCCAAAAACUGUUUUCAAUUGUGUAACUUCACAAGAGAUGCAUUUUCUAGGUAAUUCCUCCUGAGACACUGCCUCCUCUCCCUCUCUAAUGGCACACAUUUCACUCAAUGCUGGCUGACAUAAAAUGCUGAAAUUAUUAAGUUUUGAAUAUAACACCUAGUAGUUCCCUUUACCAUCAAGGUAAUUUACCUGGGAGACCUCCUCCUCUCCCUCGAUGUGCAAAUACUCAAGCAAAACCAAAGAGGUAAAACAACACCAUGACCUUCUCUUCCACGGUACUUGCCCAAUUCCAGACGUCAGGGACCAGGUGCCAACAGAAGUAACAAGCAGCUAAUGUUCCAGGAUGGAUUUCUGGCACAUCAGCUACUCUGCACUGCCUGUCCAUGUUCUUGCUCCUGCCCUAUUUACACUGAGAGUGCGAUAAAAGCUGGUAUGUGGACAGGCAAGACUGGAGUUGUUUCUCCUUCUGUGACCUGGCUUUAAAAAGGAAUUAUCUUACAGAUGCUUUGUUUUAUGAAGUUAAAAAACUCGUUAAAAAUCAGCUCAUCAGUGAUUCCCUCAACCACCCAGACACCUUUCCAUUAGAAAUCAACUUGGAUAAAAAAUCCAGGAAAUUACCAUGUGGCUAAUUUAACUCAGAUAGAUCCAUCCACAUGUACAGGUGAAGCCUGGGAAGCACAUUUAAUGAUGUAUUUAAAUGUAUUUAACAUUUAAAAAGCACUUUCAACAUUAAACCAGAUAUUACUGUUGAGAGUAUAGCAGAGCCAAAUCUUUAAAUAAACACUGCUACAUGUUAAUAAGAAACGCUCUUAAGAUCUAUGACUUUUUGGAUUAGCAUUUAGUGUAAACCCUUUAAGAACAACUGCUGAUACUUACAGAAACCAUGGUGGAUCUGCUGUAAGGUGGAGAGAAGCCAUAUGAAAGGAGUUACAGGGUUACAGACCUGUUAGAGGUUUACAGUUAAGGGUGCCAUCAUAUAUUCAAGGUCCUCAAACCCCGAGGCUGCCCCGUCCUAGGAAGAUCGCUCUUCCAGCUACGUAGCACAACGCAAUAAACUGAACAAAGCUGCAGAAAAAUGCGUUUGAAAUUAUACAGAUUUAAAUAACUAUUUAUGCAGGUUUAGAAACAGUGCUCUGGACAGGUAAUUUAGAGUAUAAAAUAUGUUUAUUUAAAUUAUAUACAGCAGCACAUUUUGAUAUACAUCUUGAAAUUCUGCAUUCUGUCUGUACUCUAUCAGCUUUGUAACAUCAAUACAAACACAGCCUUCCAUAGCCCCCACCCCCCUCAAUUUGCAUUUUCUUGUGACGCUCAUUGCUUAAAACAACUUUAAAUGAAUAUUUAUGUAUGCAAAACAUGCUCUUCCUCCCAAGCACUAGCAAAGAUGCAAGAAAAAAAAUACAGCAAUGGAGUCCAAGUGUCUAAUUUUAUGCCAGGAAUUCAAAGCAAUCCAACUUUUCCAAAAAGCACGGGGGCUAGUACACAGAACAACAGUCAUCUUUGGUCUGAUACCCAAUAAGAGUUAAGACAUGCAAACUUAUCUUCUUUCCAGAACGGAGGAGGUAAGAUUGUUUCAGAGAUAAAAACAUUCUUUCAGAAUCAUAGUUAGCAAAAAAUAUAAUGCAGUAAGCAAAUGCAAUUUUAGACAAAAA